rnacentral:rRNA from 1 species
UUGAAGAGUUUGAUCAUGGCUCAGAUUGAACGCUGGCGGCAGGCCUAACACAUGCAAGUCGAGCGGUAGCACAGAGAGCUUGCUCUCGGGUGACGAGCGGCGGACGGGUGAGUAAUGUCUGGGAAACUGCCUGAUGGAGGGGGAUAACUACUGGAAACGGUAGCUAAUACCGCAUAACGUCGCAAGACCAAAGUGGGGGACCUUCGGGCCUCAUGCCAUCAGAUGUGCCCAGAUGGGAUUAGCUAGUAGGUGGGGUAACGGCUCACCUAGGCGACGAUCCCUAGCUGGUCUGAGAGGAUGACCAGCCACACUGGAACUGAGACACGGUCCAGACUCCUACGGGAGGCAGCAGUGGGGAAUAUUGCACAAUGGGCGCAAGCCUGAUGCAGCCAUGCCGCGUGUGUGAAGAAGGCCUUCGGGUUGUAAAGCACUUUCAGCGGGGAGGAAGGCGAUAAGGUUAAUAACCUCAUCGAUUGACGUUACCCGCAGAAGAAGCACCGGCUAACUCCGUGCCAGCAGCCGCGGUAAUACGGAGGGUGCAAGCGUUAAUCGGAAUUACUGGGCGUAAAGCGCACGCAGGCGGUCUGUCAAGUCGGAUGUGAAAUCCCCGGGCUCAACCUGGGAACUGCAUUCGAAACUGGCAGGCUAGAGUCUUGUAGAGGGGGGUAGAAUUCCAGGUGUAGCGGUGAAAUGCGUAGAGAUCUGGAGGAAUACCGGUGGCGAAGGCGGCCCCCUGGACAAAGACUGACGCUCAGGUGCGAAAGCGUGGGGAGCAAACAGGAUUAGAUACCCUGGUAGUCCACGCCGUAAACGAUGUCGAUUUGGAGGUUGUGCCCUUGAGGCGUGGCUUCCGGAGCUAACGCGUUAAAUCGACCGCCUGGGGAGUACGGCCGCAAGGUUAAAACUCAAAUGAAUUGACGGGGGCCCGCACAAGCGGUGGAGCAUGUGGUUUAAUUCGAUGCAACGCGAAGAACCUUACCUGGUCUUGACAUCCACAGAACUUUCCAGAGAUGGAUUGGUGCCUUCGGGAACUGUGAGACAGGUGCUGCAUGGCUGUCGUCAGCUCGUGUUGUGAAAUGUUGGGUUAAGUCCCGCAACGAGCGCAACCCUUAUCCUUUGUUGCCAGCGGUUAGGCCGGGAACUCAAAGGAGACUGCCAGUGAUAAACUGGAGGAAGGUGGGGAUGACGUCAAGUCAUCAUGGCCCUUACGACCAGGGCUACACACGUGCUACAAUGGCAUAUACAAAGAGAAGCGACCUCGCGAGAGCAAGCGGACCUCAUAAAGUAUGUCGUAGUCCGGAUUGGAGUCUGCAACUCGACUCCAUGAAGUCGGAAUCGCUAGUAAUCGUAGAUCAGAAUGCUACGGUGAAUACGUUCCCGGGCCUUGUACACACCGCCCGUCACACCAUGGGAGUGGGUUGCAAAAGAAGUAGGUAGCUUAACCUUCGGGAGGGCGCUUACCACUUUGUGAUUCAUGACUGGGGUGAAGUCGUAACAAGGUAACCGUAGGGGAACCUGCGGUUGGAUCACCUCCUU